CCAAUAGCGUAUAUUAAAGUUGUUGCAGUUAAAAAGCUCGUAGUUGAAUUUUAGGCCUGGCCAGGCGGUCCGUCUUUGGCGAGUACUGUCUUGUUGUCGGGUCUUCCUUCUGGUGAACCAGUAUGUCCUUUAUUGGGUGUGUUGGGGAGCCAGGACCAUUACCUUGAAAAAAUUAGAGUGUUUAAAGCGGGCUAUUGCUUGAAUAGAUUAGAAUGGAAUAAUAGAAUAGGACGUUGUGGUUCUAUUUUGUUGGUUUCUAGGACCACCGUAAUGAUUAAUAGGGAUAGUUGGGGGCAUUAGUAUUCAAUUGUCAGAGGUGAAAUUCUUGGAUUUAUUGAAGACUAACUAUUGCGAAAGCAUUUGCCAAGGAUGUUUUCAUUAAUCAAGAACGAAAGUUAGGGGAUCGAAGACGAUCAGAUACCGUCGUAGUCUUAACCAUAAACUAUGCCGACUAGGAAUCGGGCGACGUUAUUUUAAUGACUCGCUCGGCGCCUUAUG
rnacentral:rRNA from 1 species